GUUAGGUCGUACCUAGGCGCAUCAUUAAACAGGCUAAUGGAAUGGAGAAUGUUGGGUAGGUUAGGUCGUACCUAGGCGCAUCAUUAAACAGGCUAAUGGAAUGGAGAAUGUUGGGUAGGUUAGGUCGUACCUAGGCGCAUCAUUAAACAGGCUAAUGGAAUGGAGAAUGUUGGGUAGGUUAGGUCGUACCUAGGCGCAUCAUUAAACAGGCUAAUGGAAUGGAGAAUGUUGGGUAGGUUAGGUCGUACCUAGGCGCAUCAUUAAACAGGCUAAUGGAAUGGAGAAUGUUGGGUAGGUUAGGUCGUACCUAGGCGCAUCAUUAAACAGGCUAAUGGAAUGGAGAAUGUUGGGUAGGUUAGGUCGUACCUAGGCGCAUCAUUAAACAGGCUAAUGGAAUGGAGAAUGUUGGGUAGGUUAGGUCGUACCUAGGCGCAUCAUUAAACAGGCUAAUGGAAUGGAGAAUGUUGGGUAGGUUAGAUAGGAUACGGGAGUGAAAGGGAGAAAACAUUUCGCUUGGAUGCAGGUAUGGAACCUCUUGUAGCAGGCUAAAUUAUGUAGCUAAUAUUAACAUGAAAUCAUACAUUUAAAAAAUGUGUGAUUAAUAUCAAUGGCAACUGUUUGAUUAGGCAGCACCUCAUAGCGAAAUAAUAUCAACACGUAGGCUAGCCGACAGUCUGAAAUUAAAAUAGCAGCCAUAUCAUUUUUCCUUUGCUAUCACAAUUAUUCUUUAUCCGUGAGUCUAUAUAUUGAUACUUAACACAAGCAAACUGUCAAGGAAGUCAUAGCCUACCUGCUCGAUUAUGAUCGCUUGAACGAAAAUCGAGAA